rnacentral:rRNA from 1 species
GAGCACGUAGGUGGGUUUGUAAGUCAGAUGUGAAAGCCUUCUGUUCAACGGAAGAAUUGCAUCUGAAACUGCGAGUCUUGAGUGUAGGAGGGGAGAAUGGAACUUCUGGUGGAGCGGUGAGAUGCGUAGAUAUCAGAAGGAACUCCGGCGGCGAAAGCGAUUCUCCGGCCUAUUACUGACACUCAGUGUGCGAAAGCUAGGGGAGCAAACGGGAUUAGAUACCCCGGUAGUCCUAGCCGUAAACGAUGGGCACUAAGUAGAGGGGUUUU